UAUAGCUCAAAUUUGCAAUCUGGCGCCUUCGGUGUCCGAGUUGUAAUUUGAAGAAGGUAUCUUUGGUUUUGGCUCUUGUCUAUGUUCCUUGGAACAGGACGUCACAGAGGGUGAGAAUCCCGUGCGAUGAGAUGCCCAAUUCCAUGUAAAGUUCCUUCGACGAGUCGAGUUGUUUGGGAAUGCAGCUCUAAGUGGGUGGUAAAUUCCAUCUAAAGCUAAAUAUUGGCGAGAGACCGAUAGCGAACAAGUACUGUGAAGGAAAGAUGAAAAGAACUUUGAAAAGAGAGUGAAAAAGUACGUGAAAUUGUUGAAAGGGAAGGGCUUGAGGUCAGACUUGGUUUUACCAGGCCAGCAUCAGUUUGGAUGGCAGGAUAAUAGCUUAGGAAUGUGGCACUGCUUCGGUAGUGUGUUAUAGCCUGGGUUGAUACUGCCUGUCUAGACUGAGGACUGCGUCUUUGACUAGGAUGCUGGCAUAAUGACCUUAAGCC
rnacentral:rRNA from 1 species